rnacentral:tRNA from 1 species
AAGACUUUAAGUUAAUAAAACUUGUAACCUUCAAAGUUGUAUAUAUCUAAGAUUUUUGAUAAGUCUUA